CUUCACUAGUAAGAUUUGUAUGUAAACAGUUACAAGUUUUAAAGGGGGGGGGGUUCUUACUACUUUAGUCUUUUUCCCCCCUCAGGUGUCCCAAGAUUCCUGCACUUUGUAUCCUGUAUUGAUUUGAAGAUCAGGGGUCACUGCUAGAAGGCAGAUCCUUCUGAGGACAUGACUCAUCUACUUGUGUAUUUGGAGGACAGAGGUUUGUACAUACCUAAUAAGCAAGAGAUGUACACAGUUUUUAAAGGGGUGUGCCUUAUGCUAUGCUUCUUAGUAAAACUUGAAGACUUAACUUGGUGGUAGGACAGAGGUUACACAUUCUUAAAAAGAAAAUUUCCAGUUCACUCCCCUGAAGGCAUUUUUGGCACCUUUGCUCAUUAGGGCAUUAAAGGAGCAGAUAAACAAAGAUAUAUGUGUGACCAAGUUUUACAUUUUACUUUAUGGUCAGUCAUAUUUAAUCUAAUAUAGGGAGGUGUCUGUGAGGUUAAGCUUGCAUAUUUUGAAUGACUAAGCUUAAUGAAACCUCUUGUAGAACUUAAAUUGCAAAAAAAGCAACAGUCUUCACUUAAUGGGUGAAGCUGGUAUCAAUCUGUUACAUUGUCCAUCUGUUGCACAAGUAUUUGGUGCCCACUGCAGUCCAAGAAAAGAAAGAUUGAUCUUAAUCAACUUCGAAGUGCCAAUAGUUCUGCAUUGUCAGUCUUGGCUCAACAAGGUUAUAACAGGGUUUUCUUUUCUGCUCAAGAGUUCUGAAUUGUUAGUUUGGCAUAACAAGGUGUAACAGUGCUGCCACCAAGUUAAAGCAUAUUUUCAACACUUGGCGUAGAUUUGAGGGUUUUCUUCUUUUUUUUUUCUCUCCCCUUCAGCAAGUGCAUGUAAUGCUAGGAAAAGUAGGAAUUCUGAGAGACUGCAAGUGUUUGCAUUUAUACUGUGGGGUUGGACUUGAUUUUCUGUCUUUUUCUGAGGUGCAGGUAUUCUUUACCAAGCACUGUUAACUAGUGUUUUCAAGUACUUUGGAAGAAAAACAAGUAUUUUAAUGUUGCCUUCAAAUUUACAUGAGGGGUUGUAGGGGGAAUUUUCACUUUGUUUUAGUGUCCUAUCUAGGUGCAGAUGUUCGUUUCCUGACUUCCAUAUCUCCUGAUUUCAAGUACUGUGAAAGAAAAGUAGGUAUUUCAGUUGCAUCCUGGGGGGUACUAAUUUUCAUAUUUUAUCUUUUCCCCAGGUUUAAGUAUUUUUUUCACCAAGUAGUUUGGAAGAAAAGCAGGUAUAUCACGUGCUUCAAAUUUACAUGAGGGGUUGUGGGGGGAAUUUUCACUUUGUUUGUCUCUUAUCUAGGUGCAAGUGUUCAUUAUCUGGCUUCCAUAUCUCUUGAUUUCAAGUACCUUGGAAGAAAAGUAGGUAUUUCAGUUGCAUCCUUCAAAAUUUGCAUAAGGUUUUUUUUUGGGGGGGGUUCUAAUUUUCAUGUUUAGUCUUUCCCCAGGUUCAAGUAUUUUUACCAAGUACAUUGGAAGAAAAGCAGGUAUUUCACAUGCUUCAAAUUUACAUGAGGGUUGUGGGGGGGAAUUUUCACUAUUGAUUUUAGUGUCUUAUCUAGGUGCAAAUGUUCAUUUUUCCGGCUUCCAUAUCUCUUGAUUUCAAGUAUCUUGGAAGAAAAGUAGGUAUUUCAUUUGCAUCCUUCAAAUUUGCAUAGGUUUUUUGAGGGGGGGGUCCUAAUGUUCAUGUUUAGUCGUAGUAUUUUUUACCAAGUGCCUUGGAUGAAAAGUUAUUUUCUGUUCUUCAAAUUUACAUAAGGGUUGGAGGUGGGGGGAUUUUUACUUUUAUUGUUUUAGUCGCUUAUCUAGGUGCAAAUGUUCGUUUUUCCUGUUUCCAUGUCUCUUGAUUUCAUGUACGUUGGAAGAAAAGUAGAUAUUUCAGUUCCAGCCUUCAUAUUUACAUAAGGGUUUUUUGGGGGGGUUCUAAUUUUCGUGUUUAGUCUUUCCCCAGGUUCAAGUAUUUUUUACCAAGUACUUUGGAAGAAAAACAGGUAUUUCAGGUGAAAAACUGUCAAAUUUACAUACGUUGGGAGGUAACUUCAUAGAUGGAAGUAUCCUUGCUAAGCAAUUGUAAUUAGUGAUUUAAAACACUUUAGAAGAAAAGCCAGUAUUUUGAAUUGUAAAAUCUUCAAAUUUACAUGUGCAGUUGAGGUAAGACGCCAGCUUUCAUAACUAGUAAUUUCAAGUACUUCUUAAGAAAAUUGGUUAUUAAGAAUGGGGCUUUGGGGGGGGAUUUUUAUCUUUUCUUUUUUUUUUUUCUCUCCAGGUGGUUUAAAUGUUUCCCAACUCUCAUAACUGGUGAUUUGAACUACUUUGGAAGAAAAGCAGGUGUUUUUGUGUUUGAUUACACACAUUCACAUUUACAUAAGGUAUGUAGGCGGAAGUGUUUUCACUCAGCUCUCAUAACCAGUGAUUUCAAGUACUUUGGAAGCAAAGCAAGUAUUAUUUGUAUUACAUACUUUCAGAUUUAUGUAAGGGAUGUGGGGGUUAAAUUUAUUUACCCAGAUUGCAAGUGUUUUCACCCAGCUCUCAUAACCAGAGAUUUAAAGAACUUUGGAAGAAAAACAGGUGUUUUAAUUUUGUACCUUCAAGUUUACAUGAGGGGUUGGGGGGGGGGGGAUUUUCACUAUAGUCUUAUUUAUUUAUUUUUUGUCUUCAGGUACAAGUAUUCCCCAGCUCUUGUAACUACAGAUUUGACAUGCUCUUGCACUUAUGUAAAGCAACAAAGGUUGCAAACAUUUGUGGCAACUUUGUUGCUCAUUAAGGCAUUAAAAGAGCAGAUAAACAAAGAUAUGGAUUAGUGUGACCAAGUUUUAAUUGUACUUGUUUAUGGUCAAGCAUAUUUAAGCUAAUAAUAGGGAGGUGGCUGUGAGGUUAAGCUUGCAUAUUUUGAAUGGCUAAGCUUAAUGAAACGUCUUGUAGAACUUAAAUUGCAGAAAAAGCAACAGUCUUCACUUAAUGGUUGAAGCUGGUAUCUUAGUCUGUUACCUUGUCCAUCUGUUGCGCAGUUAUUUGGUGCCCACUGCAGUCCAAGAAAAGAAUGAUUGAUCUUAAUUAACUUUGACUCCAAACUUUUUUUUAGUGUCAAUAGUUCUGCAUUGUCAGUCUUGGCUCAACAAGGGUAUAACUGGGUUUUCUUUUGUGUUCGAGUUCUGAGUUGUCAGUUUGGCAUAACCUCGUAUAACUGUGCUUGCCACCAAAUUAAAACAUAUUUUCAACACUUGGCAUACAUUUGUUGAGGCUUCUCUCUUUUUUCCCUCCCGUUUAGCAAUUGUGUGUAAUGCUAAGAAAAGUAGGAAUUUUGAGAGACAAAUUAUUUUUGCAUUUAUAGUAUGGGGCUGGAUUUGCCACUUUUUGGCUUUUUCUGAGGUGCAGGUUUUCUUUACCAAGAACUGUUAACUAGUGUUUUAAGAACUUUGGAAGAAGGACGGGUAUUUUAAUGUUAUACCUUCAAAUUUACAUGAGGGGUUGAUGGGGGGGGCUGUCAAUUUAUUUUUUUUUGUGUCUUAUCUAGGUGCAAAUGCUCAUUAUCCAGCUUCCAUAUCUCUUUGAUUUUAAAUACCUUGGAAGAACAGUAGGUAUUUCAGUUUCAUCCUUCAGAUUUACAUAAGGGUUUGGGGGGGGGGGUUCCAGUUUUAGUAUUUAGUCUUUUCCCAAGGUUCAAGUAUUUUUUUCCCAGUACCUUGGAAGAAAAACUGGUAUUUCACGUGCUUCAAAUUUACUUUGGGGGGGGGUCACUUUAUUGUUUUAGUCCCUUAGCUAGGUGCAGAUGUUCGUUUUUCUGGCUUCCAUAUCUUUUUAUUUCAAGUACCUUGAAAGAAAAAUAGGUAUUUCGGUUGCAGCCUUUAAAUUUACAUAAGGGUUUUUUUUUUGGGGGGGGGGGUCUUAAUUUUCGUGUUUAAUUUUUUUCCCCAGGUUUAAGUAUUUUUUUACCAAGUACUUUGAUAAAAAAGCAGGUAUUUCAUGUACAAACCAUCAUAUUUACAUAAGAAUUUGAGGGGGGGUUAAUUUCAUAGAUGGAAGUAUCUUUGCUAAGCAGUUGUAACUAGUGAUUUAAAGCACUUUAGAAGAAAAGCCAAUAUUUGAUUUGUAAAACUUUCAAAUUUACAUGUGCGGUUGAGGUGUGACUUGCCAGCUUUCAAAACUUGUCAUUUCAAGUACUUUGUAAGAAAAUCGGUUAUUAAGAAUGGGGCUUUGGGGGGGCUUUUUAUCUUUUCUUAGUUUUUCUCCAGGUUUAACGUAACUUUGGAAGAAAAGCGGGUGUUUUUGUGUUUGAUUACACACCUUCACGUUUACAUAAGGUAUGUAGGUGGAAGUGUUUUCACCCAGCUCCAGUAACCAGUGAUUUCAAGUACUUUAGAAGAAAAGCAGGUAUUUGUAUUACAUACUUUUCAAAUUUACACAAGGGAUAUGGGGGGGUUUUAAUUUUCUUUAGUCUUUCCCCAGAUGCAAGUGUUUUCACCCAGCUCUCAUAAUCGGUGAUUUAAAGAACUUUGGAAGAAAAACAGGUAUUUUAAUUUUAUACCUUCAAAUUUACAUGAGAGGAUGGGGGGGGUUUCACUUUAUUGUUUUAGUAUCUUAUCUAGGUGCAAAUACUCGUUAUCCAGCUUCCAUGCCUCUUGAUUUCAAGUACGUUGGAAGAAAAGUAGGUAUUUCAGUUGCAAGCCUUCAAGUUUGCAUAAGGGUUUGGGGGGGAUUUUUACUUUUUUUUUUGUCUUCCAAGUGCAAGUAUUCCCCAGCUCUCGUAACUACAGAUUUGACAUGCUCUUGCACUUAUGUAAAGCAACAAAGGUUGCAAACAUUUGUGGCAACUUUGUUGCUCAUUAAGGCAUUAAAAGAGCAGAUAAACAAAGAUAUGGAUUAGUGUGACCAAGUUUUAAUUGUACUUGUUUAUGGUCAAGCAUAUUUAAGCUAAUAAUAGGGAGGUGGCUGUGAGGUUAAGCUUGCAUAUUUUGAAUGGCUAAGCUUAAUGAAACGUCUUGUAGAACUUAAAUUGCAGAAAAAGCAACAGUCUUCACUUAAUGGUUGAAGCUGGUAUCUUAGUCUGUUACCUUGUCCAUCUGUUGUGCAAUUAUUUGGUGUCCACUGCAGUCCAAGAAAAGAAUGAUUGAUCUUAAUUAACUUUGACUCCAAACUUUUUUUUAGUGUCAAUAGUUCUGCAUUGUCAGUCUUGGCUCAACAAGGGUAUAACUGGGUUUUCUUUUGUGUUCGAGUUCUGAGUUGUCAGUUUGGCAUAACCUCGUAUAACUGUGCUUGCCACCAAAUUAAAACAUAUUUUCAACACUUGGCAUACAUUGUUGAGGCUUCUCUCUUUUUUCCCUCCCGUUUAGCAAUUGUGUGUAAUGCUAAGAAAAGUAGGAAUUUUGAGAGACCAAAUAAUUUUUGCAUUUAUACUAUGGGGCUGGAUUUGCCACUUUUUGGCUUUUUCUGAGGUGCAGGUUUUCUUUACCAAGAACUGUUAACUAGUGUUUUAAGAACUUUGGAAGAAGGACGGGUAUUUUAAUGUUAUACCUUCAAAUUUACAUGAGGGGUUGAUGGGGGGGGGCUAUCAAUUUAUUGUUUUAGUGUCUUAUCUAGGUGCAAAUGCUCAUUAUCCAGCUUCCAUAUCUCUGAUUUUAAAUACCUUGGAAGAACAGUAGGUAUUUCAGUUUCAUCCUUCAGAUUUACAUACGGGUUUGGGGGGGGGGUUCCAGUUUUAGUAUUUAGUCUUUUCCCAAGGUUCAAGUAUUUUUUUCCCAGUACCUUGGAAGAAAAACUGGUAUUUCACGUGCUUCAAAUUUACUUUGGGGGGGGGGUCACUUUAUUGUUUUAGUCCCUUAGCUAGGUGCAGAUGUUCGUUUUACUGGCUUCCAUAUCUUUUUAUUUCAAGUACCUUGAAAAAAAAAUAGGUAUUUCGGUUGCAGCCAUCAAAUUUACAUAAGGGUUUUUUGGGGGGGGUCUAAUUUUCGUGUUUAAUUUUAAGUAUUUUUUACCAAGUAGUUUGAUAAAAAAGCAGGUAUUUCAUGGACAAACCAUCAGAUUUACAUAAGAAUUUCGGGGGGGGGGUUAAUUUCAUAGAUGGAAGUAUCUUUGCUAAGCAAUUGUAACUAGUGAUUUAAAGCACUUUAGAAGAAAAGCCAAUAUUUGAUUUGUAAAACUUUCAAAUUUACAUGUGCGGUUGAGGUGUGACUUGCCAGCUUUCAAAACUUGUCAUUUCAAGUACUUUGUAAGAAAAUCGGUUAUUAAGAAUGGGGCUUUGGGGGGCUUUUUAUCUUUUCUUAGUUUUUCUCCAGGUUUAACGUAAUUUUGGAAGAAAAGCGGGUGUUUUUGUGUUUGAUUACACACCUUCACGUUUACAUAAGGUAUGUAGGCGGAAGUGUUUUCACCCAGCUCUAGUAACCAGUGAUUUCAAGUACUUUAGAAGAAAAGCAGGUAUUUGUAUUACAUACUUUCAAAUUUACACAAGGGAUAUGGGGGGGAUUUUAAUUUUCUGUAGUCUUUCCCCAGAUGCAGGUGUUUUCACCCAGCUCUCAUAAUCGAUGAUUUAAAGAACUUUGGAAGAAAAACAGGUAUUUUAAUUUUAUACAUUCAAAUUUACAUGAGGGGAUUGGGGGGGUUUCACUUUAUUGUUUUAGUAUCUUAUCUAGGUGCAAAUACUCGUUAUCCAGCUUCCAUGCCUCUUGAUUUCAAGUACGUUGGAAGAAAAGUAGGUAUUUCAGUUGCAAGCCUUCAAGUUUGCAUAAGGGUUUGGGGGGGAUUUUUACUUUUUUUUUUUUUUUUUUUGUCUUCAGGUGCAAGUAUUCCCCAGCUCUCGUAACUACAGAUUUGACAUGCUCUUACACUCGAGUAGAUUUUUAUCAGUCACAAAAUUCAUUAAGGCAGAGUGGAACAAAGGGUUCAAAUCUGAUCAGCUUUGCCGAGGCCUUCCACUUGGAAAAUCUACAAAAGUACACAUUUUCUACCUGAGCUACAUACAAGAGCCUAGACACCCUUUCUUCUUUAUUGCAAUCUUGUGUUGGACUUUAAGCAAACCCCUUCCAUAUAGGUGAAAGUUACUGUAGCACUAAGUUUUAUCUAGUUGCCAUUUCAAGUGUUCAUGCCGGGUCGAAUUCACCUCUUCUAACAUCCCUCAAGAUUUCUAAAGCUUUCCUCAAAGGUACCUUUAAACUUUUAAAAAUGUGUAACUAUUAACUGGUGAAUAAAACACAUUUGAGAAAUCCUUUGUAGAGUUACAGAGCAAAGAUUUGAAAGUGGUGCAGUAAAGUACUACUUUGCAUAGUUUUCUUUUAACAUGAGUUUUUUGGAUACUGAACUUUAAAACAGGUUUACAACACUGUCAUAAUUUUCAAUGAGAAUUUUACAGUAUGAGACUACCAAGACUACAUGAGUUAAUUUGAAUGGCACAACAAAGAAAACAGAACGACUCUGGCUGCGAGAUGGACUGAGUGUGAAUGAGCUGAAAUAAUUGUGAGUGUCACAGAGAAACAUCUCACUACUUGGUUUGCAAAAUUGCUUCAUGGAAAAAAGAAAAGUGACUUAAACAUUCUGCAAUGUGGAAAAGAGAGCUGUAAUUACUUGUAACUGGUGUAUAUAAAUGGAUGUACAUAAUGUUCUAGCUAAGUACUGCAUUAAACAUACUGAAGUCCUGCACUCCGAAAGGUGGUGAAACAUUCAGUUUUCACGUUCAGAUGCCUUUAUACCCCUGCAUUCAGAAACUGUGUAUUAAAGGCAACAUCAGUCUCCCUCUCACAGCUGUUAAAACAUUGCUAUAUACAAAGUGCUUUUAAGAAUGCCAUUCUACCCUUAAAAGUUUGUUGAAUCUGACCCUUCCUUAGAAAAGGGAGUUUUGAUGAUAUGCAUCUGUUCACAAAGCACCAUUUUGUGAGGAAAGAAAUUGGAUAUUUUAAUUAUGAUGCAAUGAAAACUCAAAAGUAGAUGCAAUUUUGGGCAUGUGUUGCACUCCAAACGGAACUGUCACAUUUAAAUGUCUGUAAAUCUGAAUUAAUGAUUUAAAUGCAUUUCUGCAUCCCACAACAUUGGUAAUGUCAGUAAGUAAUGAAAUAUCUCUUAUUGGUAUGACAACUCAUAUCUACCAUGGACAUGACUGCAGUCAUUGCCCUGAAAGUAUUUAGUCUUGUAACUAAGAGCAAGGAGAAACUGUAGAAAUUAACUUGGCAGUUUUGUGUAGGCUUAUUUUUGGUUGCCAAUACAAGGUAAUCUGUGAAACAGUUAACAUUUUAGUGAAAUGUUUUAUGCAACAAACCUGGACAUUAAAUUGUAACAAGAGUUGUAUUAUUUGGUGCAGAUGUAGCUGUUUUUCAUGUUUGUUACGAGUGCCAAUUCGCAGUUCCUGAUCACCUUUUUAUGUAUGAAUAUUUGAGAUGCUUAGAAUGUUAAAUGUUUUAAAGCAAAUGUAUAGUGGCUUUAGUUCCUUACUAAAAAUGUUUAGGAUUUUGUGCAUUAUUAAUUUACCCAGUAAGAAAAUGAGAAAUGUCCAUGUUUAUAGCUGAACUUGAAUUUGCAGUAAGGAUGAUGUGAAGUUUACAAAGGAACAAACUGAAAAACAAAA